rnacentral:pre_miRNA from 1 species
CCUCCGUCCCAUUUUAAGUGCAACCAACUUUGAUUGUUCGUCUUAUUUGAAAUAUUUUUAUAAUUAGUAUUUUUGUUGUUAUGAGAUGAUAAAACAUGAAUAGUAUUUUANUGAAUAGUAUUUUUGACUUAUGUUUUUAAAUUUUUUGACAAAACUUUUAAAUAAGACGGGUGAUAAAAGUUGACAUGGGAAAUUAUGGCUGUACUUAAA